GUUUAUCACCAUUCCAGAUUGAAUAUACCCGAUCUCGUCUGAUCUCGAGAGUCAAGCAAUCUCGGGCUUGGAAGUACGAAUUCCACCAUGGAGCUCA
rnacentral:rRNA from 1 species